UACGGGGGGGAGCAAGCGUUGUUCGGAUUUACUGGGCGUAAAGGGCGCGUAGGCGGCGUGACAAGUCACUUGUGAAAUCUCCGGGCUUAACUCGGAACGGUCAAGUGAUACUGUCGUGCUAGAGUACAGAAGGGGCAACUGGAAUUCUCGGUGUAGCGGUGAAAUGCGUAGAUAUCGAGAGGAACACCUGCGGCGAAGGCGGGUUGCUGGGCUGAUACUGACGCUGAGGCGCGGAAAGCCAGGGGGAGCGAACGGG
rnacentral:rRNA from 1 species